GUUGAACGCUGGCGGCAUGCUUUACACAUGCAAGUCGAACGGUAACAGGCCGCGAUUUGCUGACGGGUGGCGGACGGGGGCGUAAUGCAACGAAACGGGCCCAGUCGUGAGAGAUAACUGCUCAAAAGAGGAGAUAAGACCUCAUACGAGCUAUUAAUUUAAACGGGAUGCCUUAAUGCCUCACGCGAUUUUUGCGGCCGAUGUCAGAUGAGGUAGUUGGUGGGGUAAAGGCUCACCAAGCCAACGAUCUGUAGCUGGUCUGAGAGGACGACCAGCCACACUGGGACUGAGACACGGCCCAGACUCCUACGGGAGGCAGCAGUGGGGAAUUUUGGACAAUGGGCGCAAGCCUGACCCAGCAAUGCCGCGUGCAGGAAGAAGGCCUUCGGGUUGUAAACUGCUUUUGUAAGGAAAGAAACGGUUCUGGUUAAUACCCGGGGCUAAUGACGGUACCGUAAGAAUAAGCACCGGCUAACUACGUG
rnacentral:rRNA from 1 species